AUACAAUCGAGGACUGCUUGCAAAUUUCGCAGAAGUUAUUGCAAAUCUCUUUUUCGUCCCUAGGGUUUCCAAUUCAUUUCGUCCCUUAAGAUUUCAAUUUCAACAGUUCACCGUGGUUUUUGUCAAUUGACAGGAUGACAAUGGCGUAAAUUCUGUUCACCGGCGAGUUACUUUGUCACCUUCACAGACUCUGCGCCGGCACUUUCUUCCGAUAGGAGAGCUCAACUUCUGUGUUCAGUGCUAGAAAGUUGUCAACUUAUUAAUGGGUGCACCUAAGCAGAAGUGGACAUCAGAAGAAGAAGCUGCCCUUAAAGCUGGUGUAGCGAAGUAUGGGGUUGGCAAAUGGAGCACCAUUCUUAAAGAUCCAGAGUUUGCUGUUGUGUUGCGCUCUCGCUCAAAUGUGGACUUGAAGGAUAAAUGGAGGAAUCUACAUGUCAUGGCAAGUGGAUGGGGAUCUCGGCAUCGGGGGAAGAUUGUGUCUAAAAGUGCUCAGCCUACACCGAAGCACGAUGACAGCACCUUGGUUAGCUAUGUGAGUGAGAAUGAUAGAGAUAUUCCUGAUGUUAAACCUCUUGCAUCGACUGGUGAUGAACUGAAGGAUGUUGGCUCAAAAAGACCACUUUCAAGAUUAGAUGAUCUUAUACUGGAGUCAAUAGCCAAAUUGAAGGAAUCACGUGGAUCUAGUCGGAAUGCAAUUUCUUCUUACAUAGAGGAGCGGUACGUAGCACCUCUAA
rnacentral:misc_RNA from 1 species